rnacentral:rRNA from 1 species
CGGAGGGUGCAAGCGUUAUCCGGAUUCACUGGUUUAAAGGGUGCGUAGGUGGGCAGGUAAGUCAGUGGUGAAAUCUCCGGGCUUAACUCGGAAACUGCCAUUGAUACUAUCUGUCUUGAAUACCGUGGAGGUCAGCGGAAUAUGUCAUGUAGCGGUGAAAUGCUUAGAUAUGACAUAGAACACCAAUUGCGAAGGCAGCUGGCUACACGAAUAUUGACACUGAUGCACGAAAGCGUGGGGAUCAAACAGGAUUAGAUACCCUGGUAGUCCACGCCCUAAACGAUGGAUACUCGACAUACGCGAUACACAGUGUGUGUCUGAGCGAAAGCAUUAAGUAUCCCACCUGGGAGGUACGAUCGCAAGAUUG